GUGUACGUACAAGCAGUGGGAGCACAGGUUUACCUGUGUGACUGCGUACCUUUUGUAUAAUGGGUCAGCGACUUAUAUUCUGUAGCAAGGUUAACCGAAUAGGGGAGCCGGAGGGAAACCGAGUCUUAAUUGGGCGUUAAGUUGCAGGGUAUAGACCCGAAACCCGGUGAUCUAGCCAUGGGCAGGUUGAAGGUUGGGUAACACUAACUGGAGGACCGAACCGACUAAUGUUGAAAAAUUAGCGGAUGACCUGUGGCUGGGGGUGAAAGGCCAAUCAAACCGGGAGAUAGCUGGUUCUCCCCGAAAGCUAUUUAGGUAGCGCCUCGUGAAUUCAUCUCCGGGGGUAGAGCACUGUUUCGGCUAGGGGGCCAUCCCGGCUUACCAACCCGAUGCAAACUGCGAAUACCGGAGAAUGUUAUCACGGGAGACACACGGCGGGUGCUAACGUCCGUCGUGAAGAGGGAAACAACCCAGACCGCCAGCUAAGGUCCCAAAGUCAUGGUUAAGUGGGAAACGAUGUGGGAAGGCCCAGACAGCCAGGAUGUUGGCUUAGAAGCAGCCAUCAUUUAAAGAAAGCGUAAUAGCUCACUGGUCGAGUCGGCCUGCGCGGAAGAUGUAACGGGGCUAAACCAU
rnacentral:rRNA from 1 species